rnacentral:misc_RNA from 1 species
GAUGAAGAACGCAGCGAAAUGCGAUACUUGGUGUGAAUUGCAGAAUCCCGUGAACCAUCGAGUCUUUGAACGCAAGUUGCGCCUCAAGCCAUUAGGUUGAGGGCACGUCUGCCUGGGCGUCACAUAUCGUUGCCUGAUGCCAGUUUCCUCGUGAUGGGUGACUGUGCAGGGCGAAUGAUGGCUUCCCGUGAGCAUUGUUGCCUCAUGGUUGGUUGAAAAUUGAGUCCUUGGUAGGGAGCGCCGUGAUAGAUGGUGGUUGAGUGACGAACGAGACCCAAUCAUGUGAGACCCCUACCGAAUUUGGCCUUCAUGACCCACAUGCGUCUUUGGAACGCUCAUGACGAGACCUCAGGUCAGGCGGGGCUACCCGCUGAGUUUAAGCAUAUCAAUAAGCGGAUGA